UACAGAGGUCUCAAGCGUUGUUCGGAUUCAUUGGGCGUAAAGGGUGCGUAGGCGGCGCGGUAAGUCGGGUGUGAAAUCUUGGAGCUUAACUCCGAAACUGCAUUCGAUACUGCGGUGCUUGAGGACUGGAGAGGAGACUGGAAUUUACGGUGUAGCAGUGAAAUGCGUAGAGAUCGUAAGGAAGACCAGUGGCGAAGGCGGGUCUCUGGACAGUUCCUGACACUGAGGCACGAAGGCCAGGGGAGCAAACGGG
rnacentral:rRNA from 1 species